AAAUCUACAUGCAAAUAUUGGUAAGGUUUUAGACGUUGGUUUUCUAUUAAACCCCAAUGUUCCACCAUUGUUCUCUCUAGCAGCCAAUUCUUUUGAGUUUCUGCCUUGCGACGGUACUCCCCAGGCAGAGUGCUUUUACAUUUGGCGUUCACAGUCUUUGAUUUUGAACUGUAAAGCACUCAUCGUUGACGGUGUGGGCUACUGAGGUCUCUAAUCUCAUUUGUUCUCCACACUUCCGCAGCUCAGUGUCAAUUCAUAGCCAGGUAAGUGCCUUCGCUUUAGACAUUCCAACCCUUAUGCCACUAUUCUACCAGUACUAGGGCCAUUCUCUUACCCAUACUAUGAUUCAAGAAAGUUUGUUUCCUUAUGCUGGUUUGAUCAAUCACACCUUUGCUAUGCAAAGGGCUCACGCCCUUUACAAUCAGAACCAAACAAACUACCUACCUGCUUUUUAUGCCUAGUCCAUAAGCUCAACACUCUCCCUCUCUGUAUUACCGCGGCGGCUGGCACAGAGUUUGCCAGGGAUUUUAUUUUUGAUAUUUCAAAAGAGAAUAGAGAAAUCACUUCUUCUCUUUUUAAAAAACUUUCUCUAUGAAAAAGAGAAAGUACAAAUAUUUCUUCUUCUUUGUCAAAAAUAAAAAAGGGUUUCGACAAUUUGCCUUCCCUCUAGUGGAUGGAAUCUUUUCUUCCAUACCUUACGCAGAAACGCAUGAUCAGACUUUCGUCCAUUGUCAAAGAUUCUUCACUGCUGCCGUAAAUACGGAUGGGCCUUGUUUCAGUCCCACUGUGGCCUUUACCCCGGUCAGGAAGGCUAUGGAUCCUUGGCUUGGAAUGCUGUAACCAUCCCAACUACCUAAUCCAG
rnacentral:rRNA from 1 species